GCCAGGAUGGCGCAGUGGUUGGAGUAUUGGACUGUGAUUCUGGAGACCAGGGUUUGAUUCCCCAGUCAGCCA